rnacentral:rRNA from 1 species
AACGAACGCUGGCGGCAUGCCUAACACAUGCAAGUCGAACGAGACCUUCGGGUCUAGUGGCGCACGGGUGCGUAACGCGUGGGAACCUGCCCUUAGGUUCGGAAUAACUCCCCGAAAGGGGUGCUAAUACCGGAUAAUGUCUUCGGACCAAAGAUUUAUCGCCUUUGGAUGGGCCCGCGUUGGAUUAGCUAGUUGGUAGGGUAAAAGCCUACCAAGGCGACGAUCCAUAGCUGGUCUGAGAGGAUGAUCAGCCACACUGGGACUGAGACACGGCCCAGACUCCUACGGGAAGCAGCAGUGGGGAAUAUUGGACAAUGGGCGAAAGCCUGAUCCAGCAAUGCCGCGUGAGUGAUGAAGGCCUUAGGGUUGUAAAGCUCUUUUACCCGGGAUGAUAAUGACAGUACCGGGAGAAUAACCUCCGGCUAACUCCGUG